AAAUUCUGCAGUCAAUGAAUGUGGUGUUAAAUUGACUUUUUCAGGAAAGAAGAGUAACACAUCCCGGACCCUCAUCCUCAUAGUCGUUCCCACGGUUAUUAAUUCAGUGUUAUUGAUCAGCAUCAUCUGCUUCUUUUUAAAAAAGAGGAGGCCAAGGGGGCAGUUUCUAAGUUUUGAGGGUGAAACGAGAACCCUGGAAUCCUUGCAAUUUCAGUUCAGCACCAUUAGAGUUGCAACAGACAACUUCUCUGAUGCUAAUAAGCUUGGAGAAGGUGGAUUCGGCUCUGUUUACAAGGGUAGGCUUUCCGAAGGGCAAGAAAUAGCUGUUAAGAGGCUGUCUGCUGGUUCUAAACAAGG